rnacentral:lncRNA from 1 species
GUGUUAAACUUGUAUUUACUAAGAAUUCAGCAAGAAAUUGGUAUUUGUACACAAAGAAUUUUGCAACAAGUCCUGACAGCAAGUGGCUUCACUUUUAUCCCACGUACAGCAGUGCUACAAUCUCAUUUAUUGAUGGGGGAGUGGCAACAGGAAAUCAGGUGGCUGCAGUACCAGAUGAGCAGAGAUUCUAAACAGUCACUCCUUACCAUGUAAUUAGUUCUACUGACUGAUGCUGACACUGCUGGCACACUCAAAGUUAGCAGCUGUUCAAACAGCUUGCCAGAAUUCAUCCUGGACCUGUUGAAAUGUGCAUUUAAGCAGGAUUCAAUGCAAAGGUAUGCAUAGAUAUAAAUCUUCAUGCUGCAAAUUAAGAAUGCAACAACCAAGCUCUGAUUAUUCUCCAGAUCUGGUCAAAGAAACCUGCGCCAGCGUGGAACCUCUAGACAGGGAAGCUGAUCUCCCUAAGGAAAAUGCUGAAGAUGCCUUCAGUUCCUCUGACAUGCAGACAGUGGCAGUUUGUAUGGACAGCCCCGUGCCUCCAGGGGACUGCGUCCUCGGAGGAGGUUGCACGGACUCUUCACUGCUGAGGCUCCCUGCAGAGGAGUGCGUUGGGAUCCACCACGCGCCUUUCCACUUCGACCGCCAUGCCCGGGCCAGAAUUGCCACUUCCCCAACGCUAAGGCGUCUGAGGAUGGCCUCAGCCUCACAAGCACUGCCACUUCCACACUGCUCUGACACAGCCCAGCUGGGGAAUCAAAAGGAAUACGCUGGCUCUCUCCACCACAUCUGUAAGAGUCCACCUCGGUGCAUUACGAUCUCUUCAUUGUCGCUGCCCUCUUGUGUCCAUGCAAAAUUCUUGUCAUCCAAAGCCAAGCCUGAGGGAACUAUAGCAGUCCCAGGGUCUGACCCACCCAGGUCAAAGCUUCCAAGCCAAGAGGAUCCUCUCAGCGAUGGCAGUCCCAACGAGCCACCCAGAAACUCCUGGAGAGCCAACUCUGCUACGCUUCCCACGAGACUCCCCCGCCCGAGCCCUACACUUUGGGCAGGUGUCCAGGAGAGUGGACUGCCCAUGCAAAGAUCAGCCGAGCGCAGGCGAAGCUCCCUGGUGGUGAGUCUGCCGGGACUCGAGGUGUUCCCUGGAGACCUGCUGGUGCCAGACAGUGCCAUGGACUACCUGCCCUGCUCCUCCUUCCUGCUCAGUGCAGGUCAGACCCAGCGGGGGCUCUGCUCCCCUGAGCCCAGCAGAAGCCGGGCUGGAACAUGGAUGUGGCCUGGGAGGGAGGGAGG